rnacentral:rRNA from 1 species
UACGUAGGAUGCAAGCGUUGUCCGGAUUUACUGGGCGUAAAGCGCGCGCAGGCGGCACAUUAAGUAAGGUGUGAAAUAUCCCGGCUCAACCGGGAGGGUGCACUUUAGACUGAUGAGCUUGAGGUCGGUAGAGGGGGGUGGAAUUGCUGGUGUAGCGGUGAAAUGCGUAGAGAUCAGCAGGAACACCCGUGGCGAAGGCGGCCCCCUGGGCCGUACCUGACGCUGAGACGCGAAAGCGUGGGGAGCGAACAGG